rnacentral:rRNA from 1 species
CCUACGGGUGGCAGCAGUGAGGAAUAUUGCUCAAUGGACGCGAGUCUGAUCCAGCGACGCAGCGUGCAGGAUGACUGCCCUCUGGGUUGUAAACUUCUUUUAUAUGGGAAUAAACUGUUUCUCGUGUCGGAUUUUGUAUGUACUUCGUAUAUACGGAUCGGCUAAAUCCGUGCCCGCCGCCGCGGUAAUACGGAGGGUACGCGCGUUACCCGGAUUUUUUGGGUGUAAAGGGCUCGUAGGUGGCUUGUUGAGUCAGUUGUGAAUGUUUGGGGCUUAACCGUAACAUUGCGGUUGACACUGGCAGUCUUGAGUACGGUAGGGGUGGGUGGAAUUCGUGGUGUAGCGGUGGAAUGCUUAGAUAUCGGGAAGAACACCGAUGGCGAAGGCAGGUCUCUGGGCUGUAACUGACACUGAGGCGCGAAAGUGUGGGGAGCGAACAGGAUUAGAUACCCUGGUAGUC